CUCUGGCCCUGGGGCGCAGCAACAGCUAGCCUCACCUCCGCCUGAGUUCAUCGUUCGUUUUUGCGUUCUGGACCCUGGUCUGAAAUCGGAUCGAAUAGCCACACCUGUGUCCGGCUAGAGCCCUGGCCUGAGUCGGGACAAAGACGCCAUUGCUGGAGGCGGCGCGUACAAGGGACGCAGACGCAGCGGUGACUAGGGACCGCAUCGUUGUAGUAGUUUUUUGUUUGUUUUUGUUUUUGCUUUGUUUUGUUCAGGCUGAGUCUCAAACCCUAAUCGGGCUGGUCCGGAACUCAUUAAAGGGACCCAGGCUGGUCUCGAACUCGCGGUAAUCCCCCUGUCUCGACUAAACGCUAGGAUUAUUACAGGCUUGCGCCUCUACCUUCAAUAACGCCUCGAUUUUGAAAUGAAAAUAAAAAUAACACUUCUUGUG